AUGAAGCGAGAAGUCGACGCGCCACCUUUGGCGUCCGGCCCUCCGCAAGCGCCCGCGGGAGUUCGGGUUCCGGACCCGGUCCGAUCCCGUUCCCUCCGUGGGGCUGUUUGCGAUCAGGAGGUGUCCUCGGACGGCGUCGUUUUUCUCCAGUCCGCGACGCUACGGCUUGGAUGGCCUACCCGACCCGUCUUGAAACACGGACCAAGGAGUCUAACAUGCGCGCGAGUCGUUGGGUCGGACGCGCUCCGCUAAACCCAUAGGCGAAAUGAAAGUGAAGGCCCCUCUUGGGUGCCGAGGGAGGACGGAGCGAGUCCCCUCGUGGGACGGCUCCCGCACUCCCGGGGCGUCUGAUUCCUCAUUGCGAGGGAAGGCGCACCCAGAGCGCACACGUUGGGACCCGAAAGAUGGUGAACUAUGCCUGGCCAGGACGAAGUCAGGGGAAACCCUGAUGGAGGUCCGUAGCGAUUCUGACGUGCAAAUCGAUCGUCGGAGCUGGGGAUAGGGGCGAAAGACUAAUCGAACCAUCUAGUAGCUGGUUCCCUCCGAAGUUUCCCUCAGGAUAGCUUGCGCUCGGAGGAGAGUCUCAUCCGGUAAAGCGAAUGAUUAGAGGCCUUGGGGCCGAAACGGCUUCAACCUAUUCUCAAACUUUAAAUGGGUGAGAACUCCGGCUUGCUCGAUGAAUUCAAUGAAGCCGGAGACGGGGCCACGAGCCCCCAGGAUCGGAGUGCAUAGUGGGCCACUUUUGGUAAGCAGAACUGGCGCUGUGGGAUGAACCAAACGACGGGUUAAGGCGCCCGAAUCGACGCUCAUGGGAAACCAUGAAAGGUGUUGGUUGCUUAAGACAGCAGGACGGUGGCCAUGGAAGUCGGAAUCCGCUAAGGAGUGUGUAACAACUCACCUGCCGAAGCAACUAGCCCUGAAAAUGGAUGGCGCUGAAGCGUCGUGCCUAUACCCGGCCGUCGCGGCAGGGCGGGCCCCGUGAGGGGUGCCGCUUGAUGCGGCGACGAGUAGGAGGGUCGCGGCGGCGUGCGCAGAAGGGUCUGGGCUCGAGCCUACCUGGAGCCGCCGCCGGUGCAGAUCUUGGUGGUAGUAGCAAAUACUCCAGCGAGGCCCUGGAGGACUGAUGUGGAGAAGGGUUUCGUGUGAACAGCCGUUGCACACGAGUCAGUCGAUCCUAAGCCCUAGGAGAAAUCCGAUACCAACGGCGAUGGGACGAACGAAAACACGAAAGAAACCCAUUGAUCGGGCGAAAGGGAAUCCGGUUCCUAUUCCGGAACCCGGCAGCGGAACCGCUGUUUGUCGGGCCCUCACAAGGGGUUCGUCAGGGUAACCUAAAAGGGCCCGGAGACGCCGUCGGGAGCCCCGGAAAGAGUUUUCUUUUCUGCAUGAGCGUUCGAGUUCCCUG
rnacentral:rRNA from 1 species